rnacentral:rRNA from 1 species
GACGAACGCUGGCGGCGUGCCUAAUACAUGCAAGUUGAGCGCUGAAGGUUGGUACUUGUACCAACUGGAUGAGCAGCGAACGGGUGAGUAACGCGUGGGGAAUCUGCCUUUGAGCGGGGGACAACAUUUGGAAACGAAUGCUAAUACCGCAUAAAAACUUUAAACACAAGUUUUAAGUUUGAAAGAUGCAAUUGCAUCACUCAAAGAUGAUCCCGCGUUGUAUUAGCUAGUUGGUGAGGUAAAGGCUCACCAAGGCGAUGAUACAUAGCCGACCUGAGAGGGGGAUCGGCCACAUUGGGAAUGAGACACGGCCCAAACUCCUACGGGAGGCAGCGGUAGGGAGUCUUCGGCAAUGGACGAAAGUCUGACCGAGCAACGCCGCGUGAGUGAAGAAGGUUGUCGGAUCGUAAAAAUCUGUUGGUAGAGAAGAACGUUGGUGAGAGUGGAAAGCUCAUCAAGUGACGGUAACUACCCAGAAAGGGACGGCUAACUACGUG